AUUUAAAUAGUUUAUUAAAAAAAAUUUUGAUUUGUGGGAUCAUAGAAAUAGUUAUUAAUCUAUUUUAAAUA
rnacentral:tRNA from 1 species